rnacentral:rRNA from 1 species
UACGGAGGGUGCAAGCGUUAUCCGGAUUCACUGGGUUUAAAGGGUGCGUAGGUGGGCAGGUAAGUCAGUGGUGAAAUCUCCGGGCUUAACUCGGAAACUGCCAUUGAUACUAUCUUUCUUGAAUACCGUGGAGGUCAGCGGAAUAUGUCAUGUAGCGGUGAAAUGCUUAGAUAUGACAUAGAACACCAAUUGCGAAGGCAGCUGGCUACACGAAUAUUGACACUGAUGCACGAAAGCGUGGGGAUCAAAACAGGG